rnacentral:rRNA from 1 species
GAUGAACGCUGGCGGCGUGCCUAAUACAUGCAAGUCGAGCGAACAGAUGAGGAGCUUGCUCCUCUGACGUUAGCGGCGGACGGGUGAGUAACACGUGGAUAACCUACCUAUAAGACUGGGAUAACUUCGGGAAACCGGAGCUAAUACCGGAUAAUAUAUUGAACCGCAUGGUUCAAUAGUGAAAGACGGUUUUGCUGUCACUUAUAGAUGGAUCCGCGCCGCAUUAGCUAGUUGGUAAGGUAACGGCUUACCAAGGCAACGAUGCGUAGCCGACCUGAGAGGGUGAUCGGCCACACUGGAACUGAGACACGGUCCAGACGCCUACGGGAGGCAGCAGUAGGGAAUCUUCCGCAAUGGGCGAAAGCCUGACGGAGCAACGCCGCGUGAGUGAUGAAGGUCUUCGGAUCGUAAAACUCUGUUAUUAGGGAAGAACAAAUGUGUAAGUAACUAUGCACGUCUUGACGGUACCUAAUCAGAAAGCCACGGCUAACUACGUGC